AGCACUUUUGUUGUAAGUCGCUCUGGAUAAGAGCAUCUGCUAAAUACCUAAUU
rfam:Astyanax mexicanus chromosome 9, whole genome shotgun sequence.